AAGAUGUGCGUUAAUCGGGUAUAUUAAGUGGUGGUUAGUUAGAGCGAAAAUCAAGAUGUACCAACAUCUAAUAUUGGGAACUCUGUCGCUAGUGCUUGCCAUUCAAGCUGCACCUCGACCUGACCAAUACCUUACAGCCAGAGAUGCUCUACAGCUCUGUAGAGAUUUAGGUGUCGAUGUGGAUAAUUUGGUCUUGGAUCAAGACCAAGUCAUUUCACCAGUAGAAAACAAGCGACUUCGACAAUGUUUCGACAUCUUACUAUCAGCUGAACAGAACCAACUAACCGAAGCUGCGCUAACGAUGGUACUGAUGAAGAGAUUACAGACUAAUCGAGCAUUGGGUUAUCCCAUCCUGGACUUGGUGUCUAAAGGCUUGACUGCUGGCAAUCCAGAAAAAAUCGUAGCUACGGGGAUUAAGACGUUAAGUCGCGUGAAACGACAAAUGAUGUUUGCUGGUGGUCCUGGUGCCGGUGGUGGUGAGGUUGGUGAGGAUCCAGGAAAACGAAUGAGAAAAAUGAGAAUGGGGUUACCACUCGGUGAGCCAGGAGAAGAUGUAGGGAAGAGGAUGAGAAAUCGUGGGAUGGCAAGAGGUAGAAUGUAUCCGCGAAUGUAUAAUUACAGGCCCCCCUACUUCUGGAUGAGAUACAGACCAUAUUUUCAAUAUCGCUAUCGUCCACGACCAAUUGCAACUACUCCCGCUCCAUGAAUGUGUAAAAUGAAGGAAGAAAGACACCCAAUAGGAAACUAUAAUCAUUUUAAUUUUUGUAGCUGCAGACACAUUGAUGAAGGUCAGUGUGAGAUUGAAAGGGCCUUAAAAGCCAACUCUCACUUCUACGUUCAUCAAACACAUUGUAAGAUGAUGUAUAGACACUUGUUAAUUAUACAUUUUGAAGAAAUAAAACGUAGAUUUUC